AGAGUUUGAUCAUGGCUCAGAUUGAACGCUGGCGGCAUGCCUUACACAUGCAAGUCGAACGGUAACAGGGAGCUUGCUCCGCUGACGAGUGGCGAACGGGUGAGUAAUAUAUCGGAACGUGCCCUAGAGUGGGGGAUAACUAGUCGAAAGAUUAGCUAAUACCGCAUACGAUCUAAGGAUGAAAGUGGGGGCUCGCAAGACCUCAUGCUCGUGGAGCGGCCGAUAUCUGAUUAGCUAGUUGGUAGGGUAAAAGCCUACCAAGGCAUCGAUCAGUAGCUGGUCUGAGAGGACGACCAGCCACACUGGGACUGAGACACGGCCCAGACUCCUACGGGAGGCAGCAGUGGGGAAUUUUGGACAAUGGGCGCAAGCCUGAUCCAGCAAUGCCGCGUGAGUGAAGAAGGCCUUCGGGUUGUAAAGCUCUUUUGUCAGGGAAGAAACGAUCCGAUCUAAUACAUUGGGUUAAUGAUGGUACCUGAAGAAUAAGCACCGGCUAACUACGUGCCAGCAGCCGCGGUAAUACGUAGGGUGCAAGCGUUAAUCGGAAUUACUGGGCGUAAAGCGUGCGCAGGCGGUUAUGUAAGACAGAUGUGAAAUGCCCGGGCUUAACCUGGGAACUGCAUUUGUGACUGCAUGGCUAGAGUGUGUCAGAGGGGGGUAGAAUUCCACGUGUAGCAGUGAAAUGCGUAGAUAUGUGGAGGAAUACCGAUGGCGAAGGCAGCCCCCUGGGAUAACACUGACGCUCAUGCACGAAAGCGUGGGGAGCAGACAGGAUUAGAUACCCUGGUAGUCCACGCCCUAAACGAUGUCUACUAGUUGUCGGGUCUUAAUUGACUUGGUAACGCAGCUAACGCGUGAAGUAGACCGCCUGGGGAGUACGGUCGCAAGAUUAAAACUCAAAGGAAUUGACGGGGACCCGCACAAGCGGUGGAUGAUGUGGAUUAAUUCGAUGCAACGCGAAAAACCUUACCUACCCUUGACAUGUCAGAGAGCUCGAAGAGAUUUGAGUGUGCUCGAAAGAGAAUCUGAACACAGGUGCUGCAUGGCUGUCGUCAGCUCGUGUCGUGAGAUGUUGGGUUAAGUCCCGCAACGAGCGCAACCCUUGUCAUUAGUUGCUACGAAAGGGCACUCUAAUGAGACUGCCGGUGACAAACCGGAGGAAGGUGGGAUGACGUCAAGUCCUCAUGGCCCUUAUGGGUAGGGCUUCACACGUCAUGCAAUGGUACAUACAGAGGGCCGCCAACCCGCGAGGGGGAGCUAAUCCCAGAAAGUGUAUCGUAGUCCGGAUUGGAGUCUGCAACUCGACUCCAUGAAGUUGGAAUCGCUAGUAAUCGCGGAUCAGCAUGUCGCGGUGAAUACGUUCCCGGGUCUUGUACACACCGCCCGUCACACCAUGGGAGCGGGUUUUACCAGAAGUAGGUAGCCUAACCGUAAGGAGGGCGCUUACCACGGUAGGAUUCGUGACUGGGGUGAAGUCGUAACAAGGUA
rnacentral:rRNA from 1 species